UACGGGGGGGGCAAGCGUUGUUCGGAAUUACUAGGCGUAAAGGGCUUGUAGGCGGCCAACUAAGUCAGACGUGAAAUCCCUCGGCUUAACCGGGGAACUGCGUCUGAUACUGGAUGGCUUGAGUUCGGGAGAGGGAUGCGGAAUUCCAGGUGUAGCGGUGAAAUGCGUAGAUAUCUGGAGGAACACCGGUGGCGAAGGCGGCAUCCUGGACCGACACUGACGCUGAAAAGCGAAAGCCAGGGGAGCAAACGGG
rnacentral:rRNA from 1 species